AAAUGAAUAGACGGGCACCCGCACAAGCGGUGGAGCAUGCUGUUUAAUUCGAAGCAACGCGAAGAACCUUACCUAGGCUUGACAUCCCCGGCAAAGCUAUAGAGAUAUAGUGGAGGUUACCCGGGUGACAGGUGGUGCAUGGUUGUCGUCAGCUCGUGUCGUGAGAUGUUCGGUUAAGUCCGAUAACGAGCGCAACCCUUGUUGUUAGUUGCCAGCACUUUGGGUGGGCACUCUAACAAGACUGCCGGUGACAAAUCGGAGGAAGGUGGGGAUGACGUCAAAUCAUCAUGCCCCUUACGUCUAGGGCUACAGGCAUGCUACAAUGGCCGAGACAACGGGACGCAAUCUCGUGAGGGUGAGCAAAUCCCUAAAAAUCGGUCUCAGUUCGGAUUGAAGUCUGCAACUCGACUUCAUGAAGUCGGAAUCGCUAGUAAUCGCGGAUCAGAAAUGCCGCGGUGAAUACGUUCCCGGGUGUUGUACACACCGCCCGU
rnacentral:rRNA from 1 species